GUGGGGAAUAUUGGACAAUGGGCGCAAGCCUGAUCCAGCCAUGCCGCGUGAGUGAUGAAGGCCUUAGGGUUGUAAAGCUCUUUUGUCCGGGAAGAUAAUGACUGUACCGGAAGAAUAAGCCCCGGCUAACUUCGUGCCAGCAGCCGCGGUAAUACGAAGGGGGCUAGCGUUGCUCGGAAUCACUGGGCGUAAAGGGCGCGUAGGCGGACUCUUAAGUCGGGGGUGAAAGCCCAGGGCUCAACCCUGGAAUUGCCUUCGAUACUGAGAGUCUUGAGUUCGGAAGAGGUUGGUGGAAUUGCGAGUGUAGAGGUGAAAUUCGUAGAUAUUCGCAAGAACACCAGUGGCGAAGGCGGCCAACUGGUCCGAUACUGACGCUGAGGCGCGAAAGCGUGGGGAGCAAACAGGAUUAGAAACCCGAGUAGUCC
rnacentral:rRNA from 1 species